GUGAACGCCCUCACGGGCUUAUACUAUUCCAAACCUCUGUGAACCGUGCCCUUCGGGGCUAUUUUACAAACAUGGUGUAAUGAACGUCAAAUAUCAUAACAAAACA
rnacentral:misc_RNA from 1 species